GUCACUCAUCAUGGUGGGGGUACUAAUGCUGGCCCAUUGCUGUAGGAUGAAGGACUCUUCCAAUGGUGACUAUGGCUUGAGAACUUGACAUCAGCCUUGCCAAAACUCUGUUAGAACUGUAGCAUAGGCUAAGAUGCCUCUUACCCAAACCUCCUUCCUUUCCUUUCUUCUCACAGGGGUCAAACUUACAUCACAGUGUGAUGGCUCCCCCAGCUCCCUCACAGGCACGCCUCCCAGUACAUCUCUUACACCUCUAAUAUCUCUUGGUGCCUGCUUCUCAGAGGACUUCAACUAACUCAGGGGAGGAGUUGGUAAUUUCAGUUUGUGUCAGCCAAUGCCUACUGGAGGAGAAGAUGGCUGAGGCUCCAUACUAUGAACAUGACUUAUGACUGUUGACGUUGCCCUUCGUCACCUGGCUGAGAACAUUUGGGGGUAGGGUAAAUGAAAUAACAUCAUACCUGUGUUACACAUUGGAAAAGACAUGGAAGAGAUGAAGUUCUUGCCUCAGUUUGUACAACUGGUAAAAGGCAGAGCUGAGAC